rnacentral:rRNA from 1 species
AGAGUUUGAUCAUGGCUCAGGAUGAACGCUGGCGGCGUGCUUAACACACGCAAGUCGAACGAACCUUCGGGUUAGUGGCGGACGGGUGAGUAACGCGUGGGAAUCUGCCCUCAGGAGGGGGAUAACGGUUGGAAACGGCCGCUAAUACCCCAUAUGCCGAGAGGUGAAAUGAAUUUCGCCUGAGGAUGAGCCCGCGUCUGAUUAGCUAGUUGGUGAGGUAAGAGCUCACCAAGGCAUCGAUCAGUAGCUGGUCUGAGAGGAUGAUCAGCCACACUGGGACUGAGACACGGCCCAGACUCCUACGGGAGGCAGCAGUGGGGAAUUUUCCGCAAUGGGCGAAAGCCUGACGGAGCAACGCCGCGUGAGGGAUGAAGGCCUCUGGGCUGUAAACCUCUUUUAUCAAGGAAGAAGAUCUGACGGUACUUGAUGAAUAAGCCACGGCUAAUUCCGUGCCAGCAGCCGCGGUAAUACGGGAGUGGCAAGCGUUAUCCGGAAUUAUUGGGCGUAAAGCGUCCGCAGGCGGCCCAACAAGUCUGCUGUUAAAAAGUGGAGCUUAACUCCAUCAUGGCAGUGGAAACUGUUGGGCUCGAGUGUGGUAGGGGCAGAGGGAAUUCCCGGUGUAGCGGUGAAAUGCGUAGAUAUCGGGAAGAACACCAGUGGCGAAGGCGCUCUGCUGGGCCAUCACUGACGCUCAUGGACGAAAGCCAGGGGAGCGAAAGGGAUUAGAUACCCCUGUAGUCCUGGCCGUAAACGAUGAACACUAGGUGUCGGGGGAAUCGACCCCUCCGGUGUCGUAGCCAACGCGUUAAGUGUUCCGCCUGGGGAGUACGCACGCAAGUGUGAAACUCAAGGAAUUGACGGGGG